GAGCCGUAGAGGUUUAUAUCGUCAAACAUAUGUCUGAUCUUGAUUCUCGGAAUACCCCAGAGAACGUAAAAACCCCUAAACAGAAUAAAGAUGUGGUGCAGGUACGGUCAGGGAUUUUACAUUUUUACGAGUUUCACAACUCAAAUUGUGAAACUCGUGUAUUAAAUAAAUUCAAUGCACACAGACUGAAGUAGUUUAAGUCUUUGGUUCUUUUAACUGUGAUGAUUUUGGCUCACAUUUAACAAAAACCCACCAAUUCACUAUCUCAAAAUUAGAAUACAUCGUUCUACAUGGCGUUCUUCGGCUCGCAAGCCUCACCCUUUUCUUAAGGUAAAGUCCGCACUUUAAGAAUGCGUUGUGGUGUUCAAAGGAGAGUAUGAGCUGUUUUUAUUGAUGAAAUAAGAACCACCAUCAUGUGUUAAACCAUGGUCUAUCACUGAGAGAGGCUGGUGAAAGAGUCCAGCCUAAUCUCAGACAGUCAACUGUGGCUUCCAUUAUCCAGAAGUUUCAAUAAACCAACAGGAUGCAACGUGUUCCUCCCUCUGGGGAGGGACUGAGAGAAAUUCAGACCAGAAUUGUAAAGGACAACCUGGUAUUUCACAAUGUGGAAAGCAUCAGCCUGGCUACCAUUGCUCAGAUUCUGACCAGACACAGAGUUAGAAUGAAACAGUUGUACACUGUUCUGACAGAUACAUGGGGCACCAAAUUUAGUUUUGCAUACCCACUCGGAAACGUGUAGUUGCGCCCCUGUCCGGCACCAAUAUGUCCAGAAAGUCAUGGAGUUGGAGGCUGAUCAGACCCCACAUGAAAUCAUUUAUGUAGACGAGGCAGGGUUUAACCUGGCAAAAACACGUCGGCAGGGAAGACAUGUCAUCUGGAAAAGGGCUGUGCCGGGUCAGAGAGGAGCAUAUAUCACAAUGUGUGCUGUUUGGUCCUGCAGAAAUGUCAGAUUGGUCCCUACAACACUGAGCGCCUUCUUUUGUUUUUAGAUGACCUCCACCAACAACUGGUGCCAGAAGCAGAAAGGGAACUGGUGGGGAGGAAACAUGAGGACAUUUGUGAUCACAUGGGACAAUGUAGAAUUCCACCAUUCACAUGCAAUCACAAACUGGCUUGCAGCCCAUCCAAGAAUAGUUUCCCUUUUCCUCUGUCCCAACUCGCCUUUCCUCAACCCCAUUGAGGAAUUUUUUUCUGCCUGGAGGUGGAAAGUGUAUGAUCAUCGGCCACAUGACCAAAUGUCCCUCCUGUAUGCAAUGGAUGCCGGCUGCAGAGACUUCUCUGCUGAAGACUGCCAGGGGUGGAUAAGGCAUGCCAAACAUUUCUAUCCAAGGUGCUCAGAGAGAGAUGACAUAAGAUGUGGACGAGCUCAUGUGGCCAAAUUCUGAAGAUCGUAUAGAUUAGAACAGGACUGUGCAUCUUUGUGUUUUUUCCCUUCUGUGCCUUUUUUACUGUAAUUGUGUUUUAUUUUUACACAUUUGGAAAAGUCCAUGUAUGCUGGAUUUUGUGUUGAUCACUGGCAGCAAUUUCAUGUUACUAAUAAAGCUUUUACU